UGUAUUCCUUAUCUGUUAUUUGUUUUAAUGUUUAAUGGAGCCUAUCUUCUCGUGGUUCUCUACAAUAUAAAACACGAGAAGAUAGGCCCUGCUGUUUUGUUGCUGCUUAUGCUCUAAUG
rfam:Moellerella wisconsensis ATCC 35017 Sequence00014, whole genome shotgun sequence.